CCUACGGGAGACAGCAGUGGGGAAUAUUGCACAAUGGCGGAAACCCUGAUGCAGCAACGCCGCGUGAGUGAGGAAGUAUUUCGGUAUGUAAAGCUCUAUCAGCAGGGAAUAGAAAAGAAGGUACCUGAAAAAGCCGCCCCGGCUAACUACGUGCCAGCAGCCGCGGUAAUACGGAGGGCGCAAGCGUUAUCCGGAUUUUCUGGGUGUAAAGGGAGCGUAGACGGGAAGGCCAGUCUGACGUGAAGGCCCAAGGCUCAACCAUGGGACUGCUUUUGAAACUGUCAAACUAGAGUACGUGAGAGGUAAGAGGAAUGCCUAGUGUAGCGGUGAAAUGCGUAGAUAUCAGGCGGAACACCAGUGGCGAAGGCGUCUUACUGGCGCGAAACUGACGCUGAGGCUCGAAAGCGUGGGGAGCAAACAGGAUUAGAUACCCCGGUAGUC
rnacentral:rRNA from 1 species